UACGGAGGGUGCAAGCGUUAUCCGGAUUUACUGGGUUUAAAGGGGGCGUAGGCGGGCCUUUAAGUCAGUGGUGAAAUCUCCCCGCUCAACGGGGAAACUGCCAUUGAUACUAUUGGUCUUGAAUUUAGUUGAGGUGGGCGGAAUGUGUCGUGUAGCGGUGAAAUGCUUAGAUAUGACACAGAACACCGAUUGCGAAGGCAGCUCGCUAAACUAAUAUUGACGCUGAGGCACGAAAGCGUGGGGAUCAAACAGG
rnacentral:rRNA from 1 species